rnacentral:rRNA from 1 species
GCGGCAGGCCUUACACAUGCAAGUCGAGCGUGAAAGCCCCUCGGGGUGAGUAGAGCGGCGGACGGGUGAGUAACGCGUGAGAAUCUGGCUUCAGGUCGGGGACAACAGUUGGAAACGACUGCUAAUACCGGAUGUGCCGAGAGGUGAAAGAUUUAUUGCCUGAAGAUGAGCUCGCGUCUGAUUAGCUAGUUGGUAGUGUAAGGGACUACCAAGGCGACGAUCAGUAGCUGGUUUGAGAGGAUGAUCAGCCACACUGGGACUGAGACACGGCCCAGACUCCUACGGGAGGCAGCAGUGGGGAAUUUUCCGCAAUGGGCGAAAGCCUGACGGAGCAAUACCGCGUGAGGGAGGAAGGCUCUUGGGUCGUAAACCUCUGUUCUCAAGGAAGAACACAAUGACGGUACUUGAGGAAUAAGCAUCGGCUAACUCCGUGCCAGCAGCCGCGGUAAUACGGAGGAUGCAAGCGUUAUCCGGAAUGAUUGGGCGUAAAGGGUCCGCAGGUGGAACUGAAAGUCUGCUGUUAAAGAAUCUGGCUCAACCAGAUAAAAGCAGUGGAAACUACAGAACUAGAGUAUGGUGGGGGUAGAAGGAAUUCCUAGUGUAGCGGUGAAAUGCGUAGAUAUUAGGAAGAACACCGGUGGCGAAAGCGUUCUACUAGACCAAGACUGACACUGAGGGACGAAAGCUAGGGGAGCGAAUGGGAUUAGAUACCCCAGUAGUCCUAGCCGUAAACGAUGGAUACUAGGCGUGGCUUGUAUCGACCCGAGCCGUGCCGGAGCCAACGCGUUAAGUAUCCCGCCUGGGGAGUACGCACGCAAGUGUGAAACUCAAAGGAAUUGACGGGGGCCCGCACAAGCGGUGGAGUAUGUGGUUUAAUUCGAUGCAACGCGAAGAACCUUACCAAGGCUUGACAUCCUGCGAAUCCCGGUGAAAGCUGGGAGUGCCUUAGGGAGCGCAGAGACAGGUGGUGCAUGGCUGUCGUCAGCUCGUGUCGUGAGAUGUUGGGUUAAGUCCCGCAACGAGCGCAACCCUCGUUUUUAGUUGCCAGCAUUAAGUUGGGCACUCUAGAGAGACCGCCGGUGACAAACCGGAGGAAGGUGAGGAUGACGUCAAGUCAGCAUGCCCCUUACGCCUUGGGCUACACACGUACUACAAUGCUACGGACAAAGGGCAGCUACACAGCGAUGUGAUGCAAACCUCAGAAACCGUAGCUCAGUUCAGAUCGAAGGCUGCAACUCGCCUUCGUGAAGGAGGAAUCGCUAGUAAUUGCAGGUCAGCAUACUGCAGUGAAUUCGUUCCCGGGCCUUGUACACACCGCCCGUCACACCAUGGAAGUUGGUCACGCCCGAAGUCAUUACCCCAACCGCAAGGAGGGGGAUGCCGAAGGUAGGACUGGUGACUGGGGUGAAGUCGUAACAAGGUA